rnacentral:lncRNA from 1 species
AAGAGAUGUAACUUACCCAAUGUCAUAGAGAAGGCGAAAAGUAAUUCUAGGUUUUGAAUCCCACCUGAGUAAAAAGUUUGAGGAAUGAAUUUAUUCAAUAAUAGUUUCAUGGGCAAAUUCUUUAUUUCACCAGACAGGUUUUGGGCACCUAGGCUGAGCAGGACAUUGUCCUGGCCCUGGGAAUACAGCAGAGAAGUGGCUGGAGAAACAGUCCCUGCACUCAUGGAGUUCCCAAUCAACCAAGGAGACAAAAUGUUUAAACAUCAUAUUUAACAAGACAAAGAUAUUCCCUGUGAAGAGUAGAGAUCCCAGCAACAGAUUUUACUCAAUAAAAGGAAACGUGACAUUUC